AUCCCGCUGAAAACACCGGUUCUCGUUCGAUCACUGAUGUUAAGCCAUGUUCGGUUCGGUAAGUAAUUAGAUGGGAGACCGCUUUGGAAUC